rnacentral:rRNA from 1 species
GUGGGGAAUAUUGGACAAUGGGCGAAAGCCUGAUCCAGCCAUGCCGCGUGAGUGAUGAAGGCCUUAGGGUUGUAAAGCUCUUUCAGUGGGGAAGAUAAUGACGGUACCCACAGAAGAAGCCCCGGCUAACUUCGUGCCAGCAGCCGCGGUAAUACGAAGGGGGCUAGCGUUGUUCGGAUUUACUGGGCGUAAAGCGCACGUAGGCGGAUUGUUAAGUGAGGGGUGAAAUCCCAGGGCUCAACCCUGGAACUGCCUUUCAUACUGGCAAUCUCGAGUCCGGAAGAGGUGAGUGGAACUCCUAGUGUAGAGGUGGAAUUCGUAGAUAUUAGGAAGAACACCAGUGGCGAAGGCGGCUCACUGGUCCGGUACUGACGCUGAGGUGCGAAAGCGUGGGGAGCAAACAGGAUUAGAUACCCUUGUAGUCC